rnacentral:rRNA from 1 species
GCAGCGACGCCGCGUGAGGGAUGACGGCCUUCGGGUUGUAAACCUCUUUCAGUAGGGAAGAAGCGAGAGUGACGGUACCUGCAGAAGAAGCGCCGGCUAACUACGUGCCAGCAGCCGCGGUAAUACGUAGGGCGCAAGCGUUGUCCGGAAUUAUUGGGCGUAAAGAGCUCGUAGGCGGUUUGUCGCGUCUGCUGUGAAAGCCCGGGGCUCAACCCCGGGUCUGCAGUGGGUACGGGCAGACUAGAGUGCAGUAGGGGAGACUGGAAUUCCUGGUGUAGCGGUGAAAUGCGCAGAUAUCAGGAGGAACACCGAUGGCGAAGGCAGGUCUCUGGGCUGUUACUGACGCUGAGGAGCGAAAGCAUGGGGAGCGAACAGGAUUAGAUACCCUGGUAGUCCAUGCCGUAAACGUUGGGCACUAGGUGUGGGGGACAUUCCACGUUUUCCGCGCCGUAGCUAACGCAUUAAGUGCCCCGCCUGGGGAGUACGGCCGCAAGGCUAAAACUCAAAGGAAUUGACGGGGGCCCGCACAAGCGGCGGAGCA